GAUGAACGCUGGCGGCGUGCCUAAUACAUGCAAGUCGAGCGAACAGAUGAGGAGCUUGCUCCUCUGACGUUAGCGGCGGACGGGUGAGUAACACGUGGAUAACCUACCUAUAAGACUGGGAUAACUUCGGGAAACCGGAGCUAAUACCGGAUAAUAUAUUGAACCGCAUGGUUCAAUAGUGAAAGACGGUUUUGCUGUCACUUAUAGAUGGAUCCGCGCCGCAUUAGCUAGUUGGUAAGGUAACGGCUUACCAAGGCAACGAUGCGUAGCCGACCUGGGAGGGUGAUCGGCCACACUAGAACUGAGACACGGUCCAGACUCCUACGGGAGGCAGCAGUAGGGAAUCUUCCGCAAUGGGCGAAAGCCUGACGGAGCAACGCCGCGUGAGUGAUGAAGGUCUUCGGAUCGUAAAACUCUGUUAUUAGGGAAGAACAAAUGUGUAAGUAACUAUGCACGUCUUGACGGUACCUAAUCAGAAAGCCACGGCUAACUACGUG
rnacentral:rRNA from 1 species